rnacentral:rRNA from 1 species
CCUACGGGAGGCAGCAGUAGGGAAUCUUCCACAAUGGGCGAAAGCCUGAUGGAGCAACGCCGCGUGGGUGAAGAAGGUCUUCGGAUCGUAAAACCCUGUUGUUAGAGAAGAAAGUGCGUGUGAGUAACUGUUCACGUUUCGACGGUAUCUAACCAGAAAGCCACGGCUAACUACGUGCCACCAGCCGCGGGAAUACGGAGGUGGCAAGCGUUGUCCGGAUUUAUUGGGCGUAAAGGGAACGCAGGCGGUCUUUUAAGUCUGAUGUGAAAUCCGUCGGCUUAACCGGAGUAGUGCAUUGGAAACUGGGGGACUUGAGUGCAGAAGAGGAGAGUGGAACUCCAUGUGUAGCGGUGAAAUGCGUAGAUAUAUGGAAGAACACCAGUGGCGAAAGCGGCUCUCUGGUCUGUAACUGACGCUGAGGUUCGAAAGCGUGGGUAGCAAACAGGAUUAGAUACCCGAGUAGUC